GUUUGGAUUCUGCCUUUUUAAAUCCUACAUACAGUAUGUAAUUUCCAAGUUGUAAAUAUUAACAUUAUAUCUAAUCACAUAGAACAUUUUAAAAUGCAUGUGGUUGAAUCUGAUGCAUCAUGGUUGUUUUGUUGUUUACCAACAUUUUUUUAAAGGACAUAGGCAGAAUUUUGAAGUAACAUGACAAACUAGAAGCUUCCUACAUGUCUCCUUAUAAAUAAGUCAGAAUAAGGAGAAAUGGAUGCUAUCCAAUAGAGAACCAUGGAAAUCCAUGUAAUGAUAGAUGAGUUAAAAGCCUGUAGGAAAAGGUGGAGCAUGCUGAAAAGUAUUUAGCAGCAGCACAGCUUCCUGAUAAGGAGACGGAAAGCAGAAGUUUCAUUUUCUUAGGUACUUUUAUAUAUCCCGUGUCUUAAUUAAAAAAAAUUUUAAGGUCAAAAUGAGUAUUGCCCUAAAAUUUAAAGAUCUCAAAUCUUACAAUUUUAAGUUUACCUUGUUAAAAAAAAAUUAAUAAUCAUUGUUAAUUAAAUUGGAUUUUUGUUAUUGUUGAUUUUAUACUUGCCUUUGGUCUGCUAAAUUAUCAGUCACUGGAAUUGGAGGUGAUUAAAGAAAGCUCACAAAAACCUAAAAAAAAAAAAAAAAAAAAAAGUAAGGCAGGUGGCACUAAUGAAGAGAUGACCUAUCCUAUGGACAGUUUAUAGCUCUUACAAACUUUUAAAUCGAGUUGCAGAUUUUGGGAAGAUGGCAAAUGCUCUUGUAGUCAGAUCAGCAGCCAAAAGGAAUCACAUUCUAUCAUCCUGAGUGCCAUCUUGAGAACUUGUUUAAAACUAAGCUAUUUUUGGUAUCUGUAAAUUGGGACAAUAGCUGGUCAGCCUGAAUUUGACUUGUAACAUCCCAUAGGUAAAGAACAACCUUAGGAGGCCUUGUGGAGAGUGCUAGAAAGCUGAAAAGCAUAGGUUGGCAGGAAGGUCUGACCAGACAGUGAACUAUACAGGGAAAGAUAGCCCCACCGUUGAUGGUGGGGAGCAAAUAACCCUAGAGGUUAAUAAUCCUGAGUCUGAGAUUAUUGGAAAUCAACCUUUGGAACCAGCUUUUUCCCUUCACUGUUGAAGACUUGAGAAUUUUGAAGAUCCAGAGGGUCAUGUCUGGAUGACCAACUGAAGGAUUUCCAACUCAAGCCUCUGCCUCAUGUAAAGAUCUUUCACAAUGCUUGUCAUCCACAUACACUUUGCAAUGGGUUGAACAGAAUGUAGAGACUUGUAAAAUACAAACAGAGACCUGGACCUAUAGAAAUCUCUACUGUGGUAGCUUCCCUCGUGCACAAAUAAAGGAAGCUACUUAACUGGACAUGGCUCUGGUAGACUUCAGAUGGUUGUAAAGUACAGACUGAACAAUUUCAACUGGCCUUUCCUUGACUUGUGCAUCAAACACAGUCUUAAGUACUAGAGACCUUAGAAACAACUGUAAUAAUUCAUUUUUUCUUUUGCCCCACCCCCUUUUAUCAGCCUUUACUGUAUUAAAAAGAAAAUCUUGUUUCUAUUUUUAUCUCCUUUAAUAAAUUUUCCUAAUUUUG
rnacentral:lncRNA from 1 species